UACAGAGGUCCCAAGCGUUGUUCGGAUUCAUUGGGCGUAAAGGGUGUGUAGGUGGCGCCGUAAGUCGGGUGUGAAAUCUCGGGGCUUAACUCCGAAACUGCAUUCGAUACUGCCGUGCUUGAGGACUUGAGAGGAGACUGGAAUUUACGGUGUAGCGGUGAAAUGCGUAGAUAUCAGGAGGAACACCGAUGGCGAAGGCAGGUCUCUGGGCCACUACUGACGCUGAGAAACGAAAGCGUGGGGAGCGAACAGG
rnacentral:rRNA from 1 species